rnacentral:rRNA from 1 species
AACGAACGCUGGCGGCGUGCCUAACACAUGCAAGUCGAGCGAGAAAGUUCCUUCGGGAACGAGUACAGCGGCGCACGGGUGAGUAACACGUAGGUAACCUACCCUCGAGCCCGGAAUAAC